UACGUAGGGGCUAGCGUUGUCCGGAUUUAUUGGGCGUAAAGCGCGUGUAGGCGGCCAGGUAGGUCCGCUGUGAAAAUCUCGAGGCUCAACCUCGAGAUGUCGGCGGAAACCAUCUGGCUAGAGUCCGGAAGAGGAGAGUGGAAUUCCCGGUGUAGCGGUGAAAUGACGCAGAUAUCGGGAAGAACACCCGUGGCGAAGGCGGCUCUCUGGGACGGUACUGA
rnacentral:rRNA from 1 species